rnacentral:rRNA from 1 species
UCGGGAAUAUUGGACAAUGGGCGAAAGCCUGAUCCAGCAACGCCGCGUGCGGGACGAAGGCCCUCGGGUCGUAAACCGCUGUCAGGAGGGAGGAACGGUGCGUGGUUAAGAGCUGCGUACUUUGACAGUACCUCCAGAGGAAGCCCCGGCUAACUCCGUGCCAGCAGCCGCGGUAAUACGGAGGGGGUUAGCGUUGUUCGGAAUUACUGGGCGUAAAGCGCACGUAGGCGGACCAGAAAGUUGGGGUGAAAUCCCGGGGCUCAACCCCGGAACUGCCUCCAAAACUAUUGGUCUAGAGUUCGAGAGAGGUGAGUGGAAUUCCAAGUGUAGAGGUGAAAAUUCGUAGAUAUUUGGGAGGAACACCAGUGGCGAAGGCGGCUCACUGGCUCGAUACUGACGCUGAGGUGCGAAAGCGUGGGGAGCAAACAGGAUUAGAUACCCGUGGUAGUCCACGCCGUAAACGAUGUCUGCUAGUCGUUGGGGGGCCGUAGCCCUUCAGUGACGGCCGCUAACGCAUUAAGCAGACCGCCUGGGAGUACGGCCGCAA